rnacentral:lncRNA from 1 species
UUUACAGUCAUUGGAACUUAGAAGUAUUAUAUAUUCUUUUUAAGCUUCAAUUUCCUCAUAGAUACCAUGUUAUCAGUAAUGCUCAUUUCUUAUUUUUGUAGAGGCUAAAUGAUAUCACAUAUAAAAUUAUUAGUGCAUCAUAGGAGCUUAAUAUUAGUGUUUCUUUUCCUGUGAAAAAAUACUGGGCAGUCUGAGUUUGUGUUUAAGAGAUAUCUUAAACAAUGCUUGCCUAUAAAAAUCUGUGCAUAUUAUUUUUAAAAAAAUGUUGAAUUCAUCAAAUAUUUAUUGAAGUCCAACUGGGAAGUGCAAAGCAUUAUGCUAGUGACUGAGAGGGAAAAAGACAGUUUCUGCCUUCCUGGAGUGAAAACAUUUUCAUAAAUAUCUUUGAUAUAAGCAAACUGGAAUAGGUGUUGAAUACAUAGCUGGUAUAAUGAUGGAAGUCUGAGAGAGAAAAAUCUAAUUGGUAUUAUUGGGAGAAUGCUUUUCUAAAAAAGUAAUGUCACUAGGGCUCCAGAGUACCAGCAGAGUUUGGAUGGCACUUUUGAGAAGAAUAAGUACAUUAUUUCAAAAUUUCUAAAUGAAUUUACUUGUUACAAAAGUGAAUUUUAAAAGAUAUAAACAAGUUAUUCAUGACUUUCGAAAAAAUGUUAAGUUAAAAAAAAUAUUGUCUUGUAUCAGAGAUAAGAGUUCUCCACAAUAAAUGGCCAUGUUAAGAAAUAAAACUUUAGCCAAAAAUAUAAUAUUUGCAUUAAAAGUGUCUUGUUGACCUUAUUGGUAUGCAAAAAGAUUGCUUCCGUGUUUUGUACUUUAAGAACCCAGGAGAUUUUGCUUAAUUUCUGAAAUUCACUAUGUCAGCUUUUGAAUUCAAGGAAAAUGCAUGUAGAUUUUAUUUGAAGCAUUUUGAGAAUUGUGAAAGAAUUAAACAUGAUUUAUUAAUUCAUCAGAGAAUUCAUUCAGCAACUGUCCAUUAAAUGUAUUUUCUGCACCAAGAACUGUUCCAGACUCUGGGAAAAAAGUCUAGAUAAUGCAGACAAAAUUCCUGCCUUCCGGGGCUGGGGUUGUAGCUCAGUGGUAGAACAUUUGCCUAGCAUAUGUGAGGCACUGGGUUUGAGUCUCAGAACCACAUAUAAAUAAAUAAAAAAAAUUAAAGUUCUAUUGACAACUAAAAAAAUAUUUUGAAAAAUUCCUGCCUUCUAUGGGAGACUGACAAAUAAACAAGUGAGUAAAUAUGUAGAAUGUUUGAUGGUGUAAGUGCUCUUGGAAAAAGUGAACAUAGCACCAUGAAUAAUAGAGAAUAUUGGAGAAGGGUAACAUGUGCUAUUUUAUGUAAGUUUUUUAGAAAAGACUUUGUGACAGACAGCUGAGGAAGGACAAUUCCUAGUGUAGGAGCAUGUUGGGGACAUGUCUAGGGGCCAGAGUUCCAGGUGGAGAAAACAGCAAGAACAAGGUUCCUGAGUUUGGAGUGUGCUUGGCAUUUUUCAGAAAAAGCAAGGAAUCCAGUACUGCGGUAGAAGAGUGAUUGAGAGAGAAAACAUGGGAGCUUACAAUUAACAUCAGAACUUGCAAACCAGGUGUGACAAGUGCUAUCUCUGCAAACUGACCCAUGACUACUCUCAAGCUUCCACUUACCUCUUGAGCUUGUUCCGCGACACCUGUGCUGUCCAGUAUGGAUCCAAAAGCCAUAUGUACCUAUUGGGAAUAUGGAUUUAGCUGGUUCAAAUGGACAGUGAAAUGUAAAAAUAUCUCAAUAAUUUUUAUAUUAUUUAGUAAGAUAAAAAUAAUUUCAUGUGCAUUUUUCUUAUAAUGUUUUUGAAAUAAUUCUAGAUAGUUGUAAGAAAUAAUACAGAGAGAUUUUGUGUACCUUUUAUCCAAUUUUUCCCGGUGGUAAUGUCUUGCAUAGGCAUAGUUAUAAUAAUGCUACUAGGAUAUUGAUAGUGACACAAUCUUAUAUGUAAUUUUCCAGUUUUAAUUGCACUAUGUGUUUAUAUGUGUCUGUAUGUGUUUGUGUUUUUAUUGUACAAUAUAAUUUUAUUAUAAGUGUAGGUUUAUAUGUUCACUACCACAUCAAAAUGCCGAAUAGUUUACUAUGUAGUUUUCCAUGAUACAGAUGUACCAGUUUUAUUCAACUACUUACAUGUUGAAGAACACCCUAGUUGAU